rnacentral:rRNA from 1 species
GAUGAACGCUAGCUACAGGCUUAACACAUGCAAGUCGAGGGGAAACGAUAUUGGAAGCUUGCUUCCGAUAGGCGUCGACCGGCGCACGGGUGAGUAACGCGUAUCCAACCUGCCCAUCACUUGGGGAUAACCUUGCGAAAGUAAGACUAAUACCCAAUGAUAUCUCUAGAAGACAUCUGAAAGGGAUUAAAGAUUUAUCGGUGAUGGAUGGGGAUGCGUCUGAUUAGCUUGUUGGCGGGGUAACGGCCCACCAAGGCGACGAUCAGUAGGGGUUCUGAGAGGAAGGUCCCCCACAUUGGAGCUGAGACACGGUCCAAACUCCUACGGGAGGAAGCAGUGAGGAAUAUUGGUCAAUGGGCGAGAGCCUGAACCAGCCAAGUAGCGUGCAGGAUGACGGCCCUAUGGGUUGUAAACUGCUUUUAUAAGGGAAUAAAGUGGGAGUCGUGACUCCUUUUGCAUGUACCUUAUGAAUAAGGACCGGCUAAUUCCGUGCCAGCCGCCGCGGUAA